GAGACUGUGUCUCAAAAUAAUAAAAAAUCAAUUAAUUAAUCAAUUAAAAUUUAUACUCCCCCUUUAAGAGUGUAGAGGUCUAUUUGGGCUCACAGAUUGAGGCUACAGUAUGUCCUGGUGGGGAAGGCAUGGCAGUAGGAAUUUGAAAACAGCUAGUCCCUUAGUAUCCACUGGAGGCAGGGAUGAGCACUCACCCUCUGCUUGCUUCUUCCUUUUCAGUUAGUCUUUAGCAUCAUGAAGGGAACUCUCCUUGUUUAGUAUGGGUCUUGGUGCUUUGUUGUGUGGCAACCAAGACAAGGUCUUACUUUGUAACCCAGACUGGCCUGAAACUCCUGCCUCUUAUGAUAACCUUUUUGAGCUACCAUGUCUAGCUGCCAUUCUAAACUCUUAAGAGUGACCUUUGUAACAUUUCUUCUUUCCCUCAGCUCUUAUGAAUUAAGUUUCUCAAAAAGUAAUGUAUUUGGAAGUGAAUAAGGCAGGAUGGACAUGGGAAGCCCAGGUCCUGGGUCCCAAUCAGAUCGUUUUUUUUUAAUUUAAAUUUGAUUUGAUUUUAUGUGUAUAAAUGUUUUGCUUGCAUCUAUGUCUGUGUACCAUGUUAAUGCCCAGUGACCACAGAGGCCAGAAAAGGACAUUAGAUCUUUAGGGACUGGAAUCAUAGACAGUUAUGUGCUGCCAUGUGGGUGCUGGAAAUUGUACCCAGGUUCUUUGGAAAAGCAGCCAGUGUUCUGAAGUGUUGAGUCAGCAGAACUCCUUCUUUACAAAAACAGUAUCAGUCUGUGGCAUAGGAUCACACUAUUCGACCCUUCUAUUGGCCUCAAAAUGGAGCCCUUUCUGUCCCCUGUGCUGUCUCCUGUGCUGGAAUAGCUCAGCAACACUCCCCACACUUUCUUUGAAUUAGGAUUUUGAAAAAGAGCAGAAAGACUCGGUGCCCGGGAGAGAAAGACCCAUUCCAGGUAAGGUCUGGUUUUCCUCACUGUCUUCUUAUAACCACUUCAUGUCCCACAAAACUAUUCCCUCUUCUGUCCUACAUAGAGACUUCCUUUGUUUUGGCAGUGUAAGGACAGAAGCAGGGUUGUGAGGAUACUGGGCAAGUGCCCUGACAUUGAGUUUCAUUCCAAGAUGCCUAGAUGGAGCUUUGAGACAGAAAAGUCCCUCAUCUUGUUCCCAAGACCAGCUGUGAAUGAAUCUAUUUCUUUUAACUUAUUUCUGUCUCUGGGAUUUUCAGUCAAGCAGUGAGCAGUAUACAACUUCAGUUUUAGUAACAGAACUAAGUUUCUGGCUUUCCUUUAUCCAAGUAAUUUCUUGCCUCCCCCCUUAUCUGGUCUUCCAUAAUGGCCGCCAAGUUCCCAAAGAACAACAAACAUAUCUGUAAAACAUUGGCAAAGAAAGGCAAAAAUAACAAACUAAAAUAAAAAGAAAACUGUUAAGGAAGAAAAUCGCUUGCCCCUAGUCCUUCAUUAACUUAAAAGUCUAUUCAAGUUAGAGAACUCUCUGAACUUUGAUUCCUGCACAAAAAGCAAAUGAGCUUUAAAUCAUUAUAAAUGUGAAGGAGUGUCAUUGAAUGUCUUUCAUGAGAAGGUGAUCACAAGUAACCACCUUUCCCUUAACAUAAAUAUUUAACACACAUGAUGGAAACAUAAACAGAGCAAUGAUUUAUGAUGUCUCAAUAUGUUCUUCCUUCCUGAAGGACCGUUUAACUAGCUUUAAUCAGUUGUAAGGACAAGCAGACAGGAAAAAUAAACCAUG
rnacentral:lncRNA from 1 species